rnacentral:tRNA from 3 species
CAACAAAUAGUUUAUUAAAAUUUAAUUUUUGGGUAUUUAAGAUGUAAAUUAUUUACUUUGUUGA